GAGUGAACACAGCUGUUUUCAAUUUUUUUUCUAGCAGCUUUUCUGACUUUGGUCAGAAAAGCCAU